UUGAAUUGAAGAGUUUGAUCAUGGCUCAGAUUGAACGCUGGCGGCAGGCUUAACACAUGCAAGUCGAACGGUAGCAGGAGAAAGCUUGCUUUCUUGCUGACGAGUGGCGGACGGGUGAGUAAUGCUUGGGAAUCUGGCUUAUGGAGGGGGAUAACGACGGGAAACUGUCGCUAAUACCGCGUAGAAUCGGAAGAUGAAAGUGCGGGACCGAAAGGCCGCAUGCCAUGAGAUGAGCCCAAGUGGGAUUAGGUAGUUGGUGGGGUAAGGGCCUACCAAGCCUGCGAUCUCUAGCUGGUCUGAGAGG
rnacentral:rRNA from 1 species